rnacentral:lncRNA from 1 species
UUCACAGUCAUGGUUUUUGUGUACCACUCCAUAAAGGAAAUGUCUUUGUCCCUCCUUGUGUCACUUCAAUGGUGACUCAGACUUGUAGCUAGAAAUCCCAGACUUCAGCAGUGGAAGAUGUUGUGCUUCAGCUUACAGAUCUACACUGUCUAAACAGCCUUGUCAUCUGAACAAAAGCCCUCCUAUUGGAGAAGUAACACUUUCUGACUUCAAGAACUGUGCUGAACUCAGUAAUCUCUUCCUGCUCUGUGGCUGAGGAAUUGAGAGGUUUAAUGCGGAAAGAAAAUAAAACAAAACAAACCUCUCCA